GGGGAUAUAGCUCAGUUGGUAGAGUGUUUGCCUAGCAUGCACAAGGCUCUGGGUUCAAACACCAGCAUCACCA